rnacentral:lncRNA from 13 species
UCCAGCCUGGGUAACAAGAGCGAAAUGCCGUCUCAAAAAAAAAAAAAAAAAAGCACACACAGAUUGCAGGCCCUGUCCCACACGUUCCUGGUUUUGGAUGUCUAGAGUGAGGCUCAAGACUUUACAUUUUUAACACGUUCCUAGACCCGAAGAGGGAGACCAGACUUAGAGAACUACUGCACUUGGACCAGAAAACUGAAAAGAUUCUAAAGGCAUUUCCAAAGGCCAAGGAAAUGGAGUUUGGACCUUGAGUCUGUAAGUCUUCAGAAAAGAAUUGGUAUAGAAAGGAAUUUUAUUCUCAUUUUGCUUUUGGUUUUUGUUCUUUAAUUAGGAUUUUUUUCUACAAAUAAUUUUUAUCGUCCCACUGAAAUGCUUGUAGUCUACAUCCAUCCAUCCAUCCGGGAUUCUUCAAGGCUAAACCGAAUCACUUUUCCUUAUUCUGUACCUUUGAAAAUACGGAAAUCUUAAUGAAUGAACACAAUUGAUGUCUGACUUUUCAGAUGCCUGCAUUAAUUUGAUUUCAAUGACCUAUUGGAAACCAGUGUCAGCAUAACAGCAAUGACCAGAUCUAAACCUACAAAGUGGGGUGUCUGAGACUGGAGUAUGUGUAAUCAGACAGACUCGGGGUUCCCUCCAGUUACCUUCCAGCUGUGUUUCUGGCUCACCUCCGUGUUGGAAUCACAGGAAAAUGGAUUAUCCUCUGAAUUCCUCCUGUGCUUAAUACUCUGAUAGCAUUGAGAAAUCAAAAGAAGUCUACCUUGAUGUUUUCUCUGAGAGUUUAGGGAUCGAAAGGAUCACAGUAGUA